UACGUAGGGGGCAAGCGUUAUCCGGAUUUACUGGGUGUAAAGGGAGCGUAGACGGCAGUGCAAGUCUGGAGUGAAAGGCGGGGGCUCAACCCCCGGACUGCUCUGGAAACUGUACGGCUGGAGUGCAGGAGAGGUAAGUGGAAUUCCUGGUGUAGCGGUGAAAUGCGUAGAUAUUAGGAGGAACACCAGUGGCGAAGGCGGCUUACUGGACUGUAACUGACGUUGAGGCUCGAAAGCGUGGGGAGCAAACAGG
rnacentral:rRNA from 1 species